rnacentral:rRNA from 1 species
AUUGAACGCUGGCGGCAUGCUUUACACAUGCAAGUCGGACGGCAGCACAGAGAAGCUUGCUUCUUGGGUGGCGAGUGGCGCACGGGUGAGUAAUAUAUCGGAACGUACCGAGUAAUGGGGGAUAACUAAUCGAAAGAUUAGCUAAUACCGCAUAUUCUCUGAGGAGGAAAGCAGGGGACCUUCGGGCCUUGCGUUAUUCGAGCGGCCGAUAUCUGAUUAGCUAGUUGGUGGGGUAAAGGCCUACCAAGGCGACGAUCAGUAGCGGGUCUGAGAGGAUGAUCCGCCACACUGGGACUGAGACACGGCCCAGACUCCUACGGGAGGCAGCAGUGGGGAAUUUUGGACAAAGGGCGCAAGCCUGAUCCAGCCAUGCCGCGUGUCUGAAGAAGGCCUUCGGGUUGUAAAGGACUUAUGUCAGGGAAGAAAAGGCUGUUGCUAAUACCGACAGCUGAUGACGGUACCUGAAGAAUAAGCACCGGCUAACUACGUG